UACGUAGGUGGCAAGCGUUGUCCGGAAUUAUUGGGCGUAAAGCGCGCGCAGGCGGUCCUUUAAGUCUGAUGUGAAAGCCCACGGCUCAACCGUGGAAGGUCAUUGGAAACUGGGGGACUUGAGUAAAGAGGAAAGCGGAAUUCCACGUGUAGCGGUGAAAUGCGUAGAGAUGUGGAGGAACACCAGUGGCGAAGGCGGCUUUCUGGUCUGUAACUGACGCUGAGGCGCGAAAGCGUGGGGAGCAAACAGG
rnacentral:rRNA from 1 species